CGCCCUGUGCAUGCAAAUCAAGGAACUGACUUGAGAUGACUUUCAGAGCUCUGUCUCUUGUGUUUCUUUGGCCUGGAAGAAACAACGCCUAAGUUUUGAGCUGCAUGAAGCUGCCUGACAUCUAAGGAUCUCUGAAGAGAACUGGGACCUGAAACCCAUCUGAAAUGUAUCUGCAGACAGGUCAAGUUCAUCGAGAGUCACCUCCUGCCUGACACUCCAGUCAUUAAUUCCAGAUACAAUUAUGGGAGGAGAAGAGUAUCCUAAGUGGCCUGAACACCUAAAUAAAAUAAAUCUGACAAUGUUGCUGAGAACUUGCAGAGCUUUGAAGGAAGAAACUCAUGGCAGUAGGUACUUGCUUCUGGGGAUAGGGAUCUCCAGAUCAGCCUGAAGAUCAACAGGAUGAUGAGUCCACUGAAGAAGGUCACAAA
rnacentral:lncRNA from 1 species